rnacentral:tRNA from 1 species
UCUAUAGCUCAGUUGGUAGAGCAACGGACUCUUAAUCCGUGGGUCGUGGGUUCGAGUCCCUCUG